GAUGAAGAACGUAGCGAAAUGCGAUAAGUAAUGUGAAUUGCAGUAUUCAGUGAAUCAUCGAAUCUUUGAACGCACAUUGCGCCCGUCAGUAUUCUGGCGGGCAUGCCUGUUCGAGCGUCAUUACGCCCCUCAAGUCCCCUGUGGACUUGGUGUUGGGGAUCGGCGAGGCUGGUUUUCCAGCACAGCCGUCCCUUAAAUUAAUUGGCGGUCUCGCCGUGGCCCUCCUCUGCGCAGUAGUAAAACACUCGCAACAGGAGCCCGGCGCGGUCCACUGCCGUAAAACCCCCCAACUUUUUAUAGUUGACCUCGAAUCAGGUAGGACUACCCGCUGAACUUAAGCAUAUCAAUAAGCGGAGGA
rnacentral:misc_RNA from 1 species